UACGGAGGGUGCGAGCGUUGUCCGGAAUCACUGGGCGUAAAGGGCGCGUAGGCGGUUGGGGAAGUCCGUGGUGAAAGCUCGUGGCUCAACUACGAGUCGGCCAUGGAUACUCCUUGACUUGAGCACUGUAGAGGCAGAUGGAAUUCCGGGUGUAGCGGUGGAAUGCGUAGAGAUCCGGAAGAACACCGGUGGCGAAGGCGGUCUGCUGGGCAGUAGCUGACGCUGAGGCGCGACAGCGUGGGGAGCGAACAGG
rnacentral:rRNA from 1 species